GAUUAGACUUGCUCUUAUGANUUAGCGGCGGACGGGUGAGUACACGUGGGUAACCUGCCCAUAAGACUGGGAUAACUCCGGGAAACCGGGGCUAAUACCGGAUAACAUUUUGAACUGCAUGGUUCGAAAUUGAAAGGCGGCUUCGGCUGUCACUUAUGGAUGGACCCGCGUCGCAUUAGCUAGUUGGUGAGGUAACGGCUCACCAAGGCAACGAUGCGUAGCCGACCUGAGAGGGUGAUCGGCCACACUGGGACUGAGACACGGCCCAGACUCCUACGGGAGGCAGCAGUAGGGAAUCUUCCGCAAUGGACGAAAGUCUGACGGAGCAACGCCGCGUGAGUGAUGAAGGCUUUCGGGUCGUAAAACUCUGUUGUUAGGGAAGAACAAGUGCUAGUUGAAUAAGCUGGCACCUUGACGGUACCUAACCAGAAAGCCACGGCUAACUACGUGCCAGCAGCCGCGGUAAUACGUANGUGGCAAGCGUUAUCC
rnacentral:rRNA from 1 species